UACGGGGGGGGCAAGCGUUGUUCGGAAUUACUGGGCGUAAAGGGCGCGUAGGCGGCCUGCUAAGUCACACGUGAAAUCCCUCGGCUCAACCGGGGAACUGCGUGUGAGACUGGCAGGCUCGAGGGCAGGAGAGGAACGCGGAAUUCCAGGUGUAGCGGUGAAAUGCGUAGAUAUCUGGAGGAACACCGGUGGCGAAGGCGGCGUUCUGGACUGUCUCUGACACUGAAGAACGAAAGCCAGGGGAGCAAACGGG
rnacentral:rRNA from 1 species